UUACGACUGUCGGCAACGGAUAUCUAGGCUCUCGCAUCGAUGAAGAACGUAGCAAAAUGCGAUACUUGGUGUGAAUUGCAGAAUCCCGUGAAUCAUCGAGUCUUUGAACGCAAGUUGCGCCCGAAGCCUUC
rnacentral:rRNA from 2 species